rnacentral:tRNA from 1 species
AAGAAAGUGGCAGAGUGGUUAUGCGGUCGGUUUGAAACCGAUAAAUGGGGGUUCAAUUCCUUCCUUUCUUG